CGCUGCAAUGUGGUAGCUCUAAAUUCCAACAUGGAUCGCCUUUCCUUGCUGGGUUUAGAAGCAUCGCCACCGCUUGCACAGCCGUGGUUCUUCCCCGCUUCGGUGGUCCGGACAGGUGCUCCAGCUGCGGCCCGAUGUUGAGCUUCUUCUCCGCGCUCGUGCUGUUUCCAUUAACUCCCUUGAAUUCCGAAUUCUGAGGGUUUAACGAGACCAGGAGGCGUCGCAUGCGAGCUCGAUUGAUAUAGUUCAGGUAUGCUUGAUUUUUGGCUCACUUAUUAUGUUAAGCUAGGAUACUUAACCAUAAUCUGCUGAAAAAACUUGAAGUUUGGAAUUGAAUCAUCUGUUUGGAGUUCUCUGAAUUUGUGCAAGAUCCCAUGAUUGAAGGAUAGAGCAGGGACCAAGCAGGGACCAAGCAGGGACCAAGAUGAUAUCUUUGGUCCUAUCAUGGUCCACUCUGAUCCUACCAUGUUUUGUUGUGCUCUCUCAUUAAGACCCAUCAAUUUUAAUGGUUAAAUAUCACUUUCAAAAUCCAAACAACCCAAGCCUCAAAAA